GCUAACUUCGUGCCAGCAGCCGCGGUAAUACGAGGGGUCCUAGCGUUGUCCGGGAUUUACUGGGCGUAAAGGGUACGUAGGCGUUUUAAUAAGUUAUAUGUUAAAUAUCUUAGCUUAACUAAGAAAGUGCAUAUAAAACUGUUAAAAUAGAGUUUGAGAGAGGAACGCAGAAUUCAUGGUGGAGCGGUGACAUGCGUUGAUAUCAUGAGGAAAGUCAAAUGCGAAGGCAGCCUUCUGGCUCAAAACUGACGCUGAGGUACGAAAGCGUGGGGAGCGAACAGGAUUAGAUACCCUGGUAGUCCACGCCGUAAACGAUGAGUAUUUGGUGCUGGGGGAUUCGACCCUUUCAGUGCCGUAGCUAACGCGAUAAAUACUCCGCCUGGGGACUACGAUCGCAAGAUUGAAACUCAAAGGAAUUGACAGGGACCCGCACAAGCGGUGGAACAUGUGGUUUAAUUCGAUGAUACGCGAAGAACCUUACCUGGGUUUGACAUGUCAGAGAAAGUUUUCCGAAAGGAAGUCCUUUUAAUAAUUUAUUAUUAAACUCCGUCACAGGUGAUGCAUGGCUGUCGUCAGCUCGUGUCGUGAGAUGUUAGGUUAAGUCCUGCAACGAGCGCAACCCCUAUAUUUAGUUGCCAGCACAUAAUGGUGGGGACUCUAAAUAGACUGCCCGGAAUAACCGGGAGGAAGGUGGGGAUGAUGUCAAGUCAGUAUGUCCCUUAUACCCAGGGCUACACACGUGUUACAAUGGAUGGUACAAAAAGUAGCAAUUCCGCGAGGAGGAGCCAAUCUUUAAAACUAUCCCCAGUUCAGAUUGAAGUCUGAAAUUCGACUUCAUGAAGCAGGAAUCGCUAGUAAUCGUAGGUCAGCACACUACGGUGAAUACGUUCCCGGGUCUUGUACACACCGCCCGUCAAGUCAUGGAAGUCUGCAGUACCCAAAGAUGGUAUCCUAACCGCAAGGAGGGAA
rnacentral:rRNA from 1 species